rnacentral:lncRNA from 1 species
AUAUCCUCUCUUUUUUUUUGAAGAAAACACAAUAUCCUUUUCCAUUACCAGUACAGAAUGUUCAGCAGAAAGCGCUGUAGGGGGAAUAGAUACGUCCCAGGUUAUUACAGGAACUGAAGAGCCCCCGGGCAUCUGGCCUGCUCUCAUACCCAAACACAAAAAGGCGGCCAAGAACAGCUAGCUAUCAAAGCAUACUGAACAUCCAGUCACAGCGCCGAGGUUGAAGACGACUCUGUUUCCACCAGCCGACAGCGUUCCCGUCCCUGCUCCUCAGGUCUUCUUCAUCUAUCAUCAGAACACCAGCAACUGAGCAGGAAAAGUUGCCGACCAAACGCUUUCCAGGCAAUAUGCCACUGUAGAUAAAGUACGAAAGAUAUCGAAUUAUCAGGCUAAAUUAUUGGGAGGUCCCACCUCAUGUUAGGUGAUGAGGUGGUCAGGUCCGAUAUAUGUAACUAACAUAUUAAGAACUGUAGCUACUGUGACAGUCUGCACAGAACAAUUAUGCUAGCCGAGUGCACGUUUUUGUUUAAAAAGUAAGCAACUUUCAUUCUUUUUAAGGUCAGGUAAUGAUGUCAUGAUGCACAAUCUUUUGCGUGUUCAGUCUUCAGUGAAGAGAAAAGAAGCUAACCUCUUGCUCUUUUUUCAAUUUCACCAUGCUGCAGGCGGCUGUGGUGCAUGCGUCGUCCUCGUCUCCAAGUACGACCCCGCCACCGACGAGGUGACC